UUUUAACCUCGGAACUGAGAAUGAAAUAAGAGGCUCUUAUUCCUGUCUUGAAAAACUCCAGACUUAAUUCACCUCAGUUGAGAUGUCUGAGAGGAACUGAGGAAGAUCUGUGUUCCUAAUGGAGAGAAGCAACGUUUAUGUCAUCUAUGGGGCUAUUAGCAAUGAGCACAUCCU